rnacentral:rRNA from 1 species
UACGUAGGGUGCAAGCGUUGUCCGGAAUUAUUGGGCGUAAAGAGCUCGUAGGCGGCUUGUCGCGUCGGCUGUGAAAACCUGGGGCUCAACCCCGGGCCUGCAGCCGAUACGGGCAAGCUAGAAUUCGGUAGGGGAGACUGGAAUUCCUGGUGUAGCGGUGAAAUGCGCAGAUAUCAGGAAGAACACCCGUAGCGAAGGCGGCUCUCUGGGACGGUACUGACGCUGGGACGCGAAAGCGUGGGGAGCGAACAGG